rnacentral:rRNA from 1 species
UACGUAGGGCGCAAGCGUUGUCCGGAAUUAUUGGGCGUAAAGAGCUCGUAGGCGGUCUGUCACGUCGGAUGUGAAAGCCCGGGGCUUAACCCCGGGUCUGCAUUCGAUACGGGCAGACUAGAGUGUGGUAGGGGAGAUCGGAAUUCCUGGUGUAGCAGUGAAAUGCGUAGAUAUCAGGAGGAAUACCGAUGGCGAAGGCAGGUCUCUGGGCUGAUACUGACGCUCAUGCACGAAAGCGUGGGGAGCAAACAGG